CAGUAGCCACGGUAAUACGUAGGUGGCAAGCGUUGUCCGGAAUUAUUGGGCGUAAAGGGCUCGCAGGCGGUUUCUUAAGUCUGGUGUGAAAGCCCCCGGCUCAACCGGGGAGGGUCAUUGGAAACUGGGAAACUUGAGUGCAGAAGAGGAGAGUGGAAUUCCACGUGUAGCGGUGAAAUGCGUAGAGAUGUGGAGGAACACCAGUGGCGAAGGCGACUCUCUGGUCUGUAACUGACGCUGAGGAGCGAAAGCGUGGGGAGCAAACAGGAUUAGAUACACCUGUAGUCCCUGUCUCUUAUAC
rnacentral:rRNA from 1 species